rnacentral:rRNA from 1 species
GAUGAACGCUGGCGGCGUGCCUAAUACAUGCAAGUCGAGCGAACAGAUGAGGAGCUUGCUCCUCUGACGUUAGCGGCGGACGGGUGAGUAACACGUGGAUAACCUACCUAUAAGACUGGGAUAACUUCGGGAAACCGGAGCUAAUACCGGAUAAUAUAUUGAACCGCAUGGUUCAAUAGUGAAAGACGGUUUUGCUGUCACUUAUAGAUGGAUCCGCGCCGCAUUAGCUAGUUGGUAAGGUAACGGCUUACCAAGGCAACGAUGCGUAGCCGACCUGAGAGGGUGAUCGGCCAAACUGGAACUGAGACACGGUCCAGACUCCUACGGGAGGCAGCAGUAGGGAAUCUUCCGCAAUGGGCGAAAGCCUGACGGAGCAACGCCGCGUGAGUGAUGAAGGUCUUCGGAUCGUAAAACUCUGUUAUUAGGGAAGAACAAAUGUGUAAGUAACUAUGCACGUCUUGACGGUACCUAAUAAGAAAGCCACGGCUAACUACGU